UUCAUGGCUCAGUCAGAAGAGCAUGAGACUCUUACUCUCAAGGUCGUGGAUUUGAGGCCCACAUUGGGCAAAA